rnacentral:rRNA from 1 species
AUUGAACGCUGGCGGCAUGCUUUACACAUGCAAGUCGAACGGUAACAGGCCUUCGGGUGCUGACGAGUGGCGCACGGGUGAGUAAUGCAUCGGAACGUACCCAGAGGUGGGGGAUAACGCAGCGAAAGCUGUGCUAAUACCGCAUGUGAUCUGAGGAUGAAAGCGGGGGACCGAGCAGCAAUGUUUGGCCUCGCGCCUUUGGAGCGGCCGAUGUCGGAUUAGCUAGUUGGUGGGGUAAAGGCCUACCAAGGCGACGAUCCGUAGCUGGUCUGAGAGGACGACCAGCCACACUGGGACUGAGACACGGCCCAGACUCCUACGGGAGGCAGCAGUGGGGAAUUUUGGACAAUGGGCGCAAGCCUGAUCCAGCAAUGCCGCGUGCGGGAAGAAGGCCUUCGGGUUGUAAACCGCUUUUGGCAGGAACGAAACGGUGUCCGCUAAUACCGGGCGCUAAUGACGGUACCUGCAGAAUAAGCACCGACUAACUACGUG